rnacentral:rRNA from 1 species
AACGAACGCUGGCGGCAGGCCUAAAACAUGCAAGUCGAACGAACCUUCGGGUUAGUGGCGCACGGGUGAGUAACACGUGGGAAUGUGCCCCUGGGUGCGGAACAACGUCGGGAAACUGACGCUAAUACCGCAUAAUGUCUACGGACCAAAGAUUUAUUGCCCAGAGAUCAGCCCGCGUCUGAUUAGCUAGUUGGUGAGGUAACGGCUCACCAAGGCGACGAUCAGUAGCUGGUCUGAGAGGAUGAUCAGCCACACUGGAACUGAGACACGGUCCCGACUCCUACGGGAGGCAGCAGUUAGGAAUAUUGGACAAUGGGGGCAACCUUGAUCCAGCCAUGCCGCGUGUGUGAAGAAGGCCUUAGGGUUGUAAAGCACUUUCGGCUGUGAAGAUAAUGACAGUAGCAGAAGAAGAAGCUCCGGCUAAAUUCGUGCCAGCCGCCGCCGUAA